AUUGAACGCUGGCGGCGUGGCUAAAGCAUGCAAGUCGAGCGAACCCGCAAGGGUGAGCGGCGAGAGGGUCAGUAACACGAUCGAACGUCCCCUGAGGUGGAGGAUAGCGGUGGGAAACUGCCGGUAAUACUCCAUGAUCUCUCCGGAGCAAAGGUUUACCGCCUUGGGAUCGGCGAUCGUCCUAUCAGCUAGUUGGCGGGGUAACGGCCCACCAAGGCGAUGACGGGUAGCAGGNGUGAGAGCACGAUCUGCGACAUCGGAACUGAGACACUGUCCGGACUCCUACGGGAGGCUGCAGCGACGAAUCUUCCGCAAUGGGCGCAAGCCUGACGGAGCGACGCCGCGUGUGGGAUG
rnacentral:rRNA from 1 species